rnacentral:tRNA from 1 species
GUUCCUGUAGUUAAAUUCCAAUAACGAUGGUUUUUCAGGCCAUAGAUCCUGAGUGGGAGUCAGGCAGGAAU